rnacentral:rRNA from 1 species
AGAGUUUGAUUCUGGCUCAGAACGUACGCUGGCGGCACGCCUAACACAUGCAAGUCGAACGAAGUAGCAAUACUUAGUGGCAGACGGGUGAGUAACAUGUAGGUAUCUGCCCUUUGGCCUGGAAUAACACGAGGAAACUUGUGCUAAUACCGGAUAAGUCUUUACGGAGAAAGCUUUAUGCACCAUUGGAUGAGCCUGCACUUGAUUAGUUUGUUGGUGGGGUAAUGGCCUACCAAGACUUUGAUCAAUAGCUGAUUUGAGAGGAUGAUCAGCCACAUUGGGACUGAGACACGGCCCAAACUCCUACGGGAGGCAGCAGUGGGGAAUCUUGCACAAUGGAGGAAACUCUGAUGCAGCGAUGCCGCGUGAGUGAAGAAGGCCCUUGGGUUGUAAAGCUCUUUCGUCGGGGAAGAAAAUGACUGUACCCGAAUAAGAAGGUCCGGCUAACUUCGUGCCAGCAGCCGCGGUAAUACGAAGGGACCUAGCGUAGUUCGGAAUUACUGGGCUUAAAGAGUUCGUAGGUGGUUGAAAAAGUUGGUGGUGAAAUCCCAGAGCUUAACUCUGGAACUGCCAUCAAAACUUUUCAGCUAGAGUAUGAUAGAGGAAAGCAGAAUUUCUAGUGUAGAGGUGAAAUUCGUAGAUAUUAGAAAGAAUACCAAUUGCGAAGGCAGCUUUCUGGAUCAUUACUGACACUGAGGAACGAAAGCAUGGGUAGCGAAGAGGAUUAGAUACCCUCGUAGUCCAUGCCGUAAACGAUGUGUGUUAGACGUUGGAAAUUUAUUUUCAGUGUCGCAGCGAAAGCGAUAAACACACCGCCUGGGGAGUACGACCGCAAGGUUAAAACUCAAAUGAAUUGACGGGGACCCGCACAAGUAGUGGAGCAUGUGGUUUAAUUCGAAGAUACGCGCAGAACCUUACCAACACUUGACAUGUUCGUCGCGACUCUAAGAGAUUAGAGUUUUCGGUUCGGCCGGACGAAACACAGGUGCUGCAUGGCUGUCGUCAGCUCGUGUCGUGAGAUGUUGGGUUAAGUCCCGCAACGAGCGCAACCCUCACUUUUAGUUGCCAUCAUUAAGUUGGGCACUCUGAAAGAACUGCCAGUGAUAGGCUGGAGGAAGGUGGGGAUGACGUCAAGUCCUCAUGGCCCUUACGUGUUGGGCUACACACGUGCUACAAUGGUAUCUACAACAGGAAGCAAGGCGGCGACGUCAAGCAAAUCCUUAAAAGAUACCUCAGUUCGGAUUGCACUCUGCAACUCGAGUGCAUGAAGCUGGAAUUACUAGUAAUCGUGGAUCAGCGUGCCACGGUGAAUGCGUUCCCGGGUCUUGUACACACCGCCCGUCACACCAUGGGAGUUGGUUCUACCUUAAGGCAAGGUUUUAAACCCUUGACCACGGUAUAGUCAGCGACUGGGGUGAAGUCGUAACAAGGUA